GAUCAACGCUGGCGGCGUGCAUGAGACAUGCAAGUCGAACGGACACACAGGGCUUGCUCUGUGUGUUAGUGGCGGACGGCUGAGUAACGCGUAGGUGACCUGCCCCGAUGUGGGGAAUAACUGCCCGAAAGGGUGGCUAAUACCGCAUGUGGUGAUGCGUUCAUUCGCAUCAGUAAAGCCGCAAGGCGCUUCGGGAGGGGCCUGCGUCCGAUUAGCUCGUUGGUGGGGUAACGGCUCACCAAGGCGACGAUCGGUAGGUGGUCUGAGAGGACGAUCGCCCAGACUGGGACUGAGACACGGCACAGACUCCUACGGGAGGCAGCAGUCGGGAAUUUUGCGCAAUGGACGAAAGUCUGACGCAGCAACGCCGCGUGAGGGAUGACGGCCUUCGGGUUGUAAACCUCUUUUGUCAGGGACGAUGAUGACGGUACCUGACGAAUAAGCCACGGCUAACUACGUGCCAGCAGCCGCGGUAAUAC
rnacentral:rRNA from 1 species